UGAGUACGAGAUGCUACGGCGUCGAAGCAGUGUAUGUCAGACUUCCAAGAAAAGCUCGCUAUGUCAUAAAUAAAUAAUGCCUGUACCAUAACCGACACAGGUGGGUAGGUAGAGUAUACUAAGGGGCGCGAGAUAACUCUCUCUAAGGAACUCGGCAAAAUAACUCCGUAACUUCGGGAGAAGGAGUGCCUUAUUUAAUAAGGUUGCAAUAACAAGAUCCAAGCAACUGUUUAUCAAAAACACAGGUCUCCGCUAAGUCGUAAGACGAUGUAUGGGGGCUGACGCCUGCCCAGUGCCAGAAGGUUAAGGAAGUUGGUUAGCAUCUGCGAAGCUGAUAACUGAAGCCCUGGUGAACGGCGGCCGUAACAAUAACGGUCCUAAGGUAGCGAAAUUCCUUGUCGGGUAAGUUCCGACCCGCACGAAAGGCGUAAUGAUUUGGAUACUGUCUCGGAGAGGGGCUCGGUGAAAUAGACUUGUCUGUGAAGAUGCGGACUACCUGCACCAGGACAGAAAGACCCUAUGAAGCUUUACUGUAACUUGGAAUUGAAAUCGGACUUUAUUUGCGCAGUAUAGGUGGGAGGCAUUGAGAAUAUUCUUGCGGGAAUAUUGGAGCCAUCAGUGAGAUACCACUCCUGUAAUGUUAGGUUUCUAACUUUGUAUCAUAAUCUGGUCAAAGGACAGUUUCAGGCGGGCAGUUUGACUGGGGCGGUCGCCUCCUAAAUGGUAACGGAGGCGUACAAAGGUUUCCUCUGAACGGGUAGAAAUCGUAUCUAGAGUGUAAAGGCAUAAGGAAGCUUGACUGUGAGACCUACAAGUCGAGCAGGGACGAAAGUCGGUCUUAGUGAUCUGACGGUGCUGAGUGGAAAGGCCGUCACUCAACGGAUAAAAGUUACUCUAGGAUAACAGGCUGAUCUCCCCCAAGAGUUCACACCGACGGGGAGGUUUGGCACCUCGAUGUCGGCUCAUCGCAUCCUGGGGCGGUAGUACGUCCCAAGGGUUGGGCUGUUCGCCCAUGAAAGCGGUACGCGAGCUGGGUUCAGAACGUCGUGAGACAGUUCGGUCCAUAUCCGGUGUAGGCGUUAGAAUAUUGAGAGGAGCCUUCUUUAGUACGAGAGGACCGAGAAGGACAUACCUCUGGUGUACCAGUUAUCGUGCCAACGGUAAACGCUGGGUAGCUAUGUAUGGAGAGGAUAACCGCUGAAAGCAUCUAAGUGGGAAGCCCACCUCAAGAUGAGUAUUCUC
rnacentral:rRNA from 1 species